rnacentral:rRNA from 1 species
GACGAACGCUGGCGGCGUGCUUAACACAUGCAAGUCGAACGGAAAGGCCCUGCUUGCAGGGUACUCGAGUGGCGAACGGGUGAGUAACACGUGGGUGAUCUGCCCUGCACUUCGGGAUAAGCCUGGGAAACUGGGUCUAAUACCGGAUAGGAGCCAUUUUUAGUGUGAUGGUUGGAAAGUUUUUUGGGUGUAGGAUGAGCUCGCGGCCUAUCAGCUUGUUGGUGGGGUAAUGGCCUACCAAGGCGGCGACUGGUAGCCGGCCUGGGAGGGUGGACGGCCACCUUGGGACUGAGAUACGGCCCAGACUCCGACGGGAGGCAGGCGGGGGGAAUAUUGCACCAAGGGCGGAAGCCUGAUGCAGCGAAGCCGCGGGGGGGAUGACGGCCUUCGGGUUGGAAACUCCUUUCGCUAGGGAAGAAGCUUUUUGUGACGGUAACUAGAAAAGAAGCACCGGCUAACUACGUG